GACGAACGCUGGCGGCGUGCUUAACACAUGCAAGUCGAACGGAAAGGCCCUGCUUGCAGGGUACUCGAGUGGCGAACGGGUGAGUAACACGUGGGUGAUCUGCCCUGCACUUCGGGAUAAGCCUGGGAAACUGGGUCUAAUACCGGAUAGGAGCCAUUUUUAGUGUGAUGGUUGGAAAGUUUUUUCGGUGUAGGAUGAGCUCGCGGCCUAUCAGCUUGUUGGUGGGGUAAUGGCCUACCAAGGCGGCGACGGGUAGCCGGCCUGAGAGGGUGGACGGCCACAUUGGGACUGAGAUACGGCCCAGACUCCUACGGGAGGCAGCGGUGGGGAAUAUUGCACAAUGGGCGCAAGCCUGAUGCAGCGACGCCGCGUGGGGGAUGACGGCCUUCGGGUUGGAAACUCCUUUCGCUAGGGACGAAGCUUUUUGUGACGGUACCUAGAUAAGAAGCACCGGCUAACUACGUG
rnacentral:rRNA from 1 species